CUAGAACCAUUAUAUUAAACUUUGGAGACCACCAACCUCAAUAAAUCGUCCUUCUCUCUCUCUCUCUCUCUCGUAUUCCCUAGCUUCUAUUUUUUUUUUCUCUGGUGAAAGUAUCUCCUUUUCUCUCCCAAUCUCAUCAGGCCUAUAUAAAUCCCUUUUCACCUUGCCUUAGACUUGCUCAUAAUAACUUACCUUUCUCUUCUAUCUACCAAAAAAAAUAUAAAAAAAACACCUUUCUCUUCUCUUACCCUAGCUAGCUUAUCUUCCUGAACCUCAAUGGACUCUCAAGAACCACCAAAGCAACCAAACCCCUCAAACCCAUCCCCCUCCACUCGCGAUGUGACUGUGUAUCGCAUUCAAGAUCUCAUAACCCGUCAAAAUCUUGAUUCAAGACAGAUACGUUACUAUAUUGGUGAGGGAGUCGCAUAUAAUGUCUCCGACAUAAUUGAUUUUACCAUUACCCAGAACAACCGAACGUACCGCAGAAAUGACAUACUGGUCAAUCCAGUACCAAAGGGCCCCCCAACACCUGGGUCUAUUGAUAUUUCCGGUCGUAGUGAUGAAGAGCCAAUGAAGGGCGGCUCUAAAUGCCAUCAGUGAUAAUCCAUAUGGAUUAUGAUCAACAUGUUGCUGCCUACUGGCUGUAGUUUGGGACUGGACGUUUUACCAUUUAUGUUGGGCUGUGUCGUAGUCAUUAACUAAGAACUUUAUUAUGUAUUUCAAGAAAUGUUGGACUGUAAUAAUUAUUUUAUGCCGUACGUACUUUGUAGUAGUAGUUCACUGAGAACUUUAUUAUGUAUUUCGUGAAAUGUUGGACUGUAAUAUUUCAUCUCCAUGAGUUGCUGCUCAUGAUGAGGCAGCGACAAGUACGAUGAACUAGUUAAUUAUAAAGUGUUUUAGUAGUACUUUGAAGUAUUUAUGUUAUAUGCAACCGUGUUUAAGUUA